GGGGAAUAUUGCGCAAUGGGGGCAACCCUGACGCAGCCAUGCCGCGUGAAUGAAGAAGGCCUUCGGGUUGUAAAGUUCUCUCGGUAGCGAGGAAGGCACUUAGUUUAAUAAACUAGGUGAUUGACGUUAACUACAGAAGAAGCACCGGCUAACUCCGUGCCAGCAGCCGCGGUAAUACGGAGGGUGCGAGCGUUAAUCGGAAUAACUGGGCGUAAAGGGCACGCAGGCGGUGACUUAAGUGAGGUGUGAAAGCCCCGGGCUUAACCUGGGAAUUGCAUUUCAUACUGGGUCGCUAGAGUACUUUAGGGAGGGGUAGAAUUCCACGUGUAGCGGUGAAAUGCGUAGAGAUGUGGAGGAAUACCGAAGGCGAAGGCAGCCCCUUGGGAAUGUACUGACGCUCAUGUGCGAAAGCGUGGGGAGCAAACAGGAUUAGAUACCCUGGUAGUCCACGCUGUAAACGAUGUCGAUUUGGGGGUUGAGCUUUAAGUUUGGCGCCCGUAGCUAACGUGAUAAAUCGACCGCCUGGGGAGUACGGCCGCAAGGUUA
rnacentral:rRNA from 1 species